CAGCGUUUUGCUGCAGUUUCACCAUAUCUGUUGGUCGCGUCGGACUCAAGGGCUGUAGUUAUUGUAUAAUCAGUGGCUAUUAUAGCUAAUAAAGGUGCUCGACGUGUCAAAAGUUAUUUUCCAGCAUGGCAUCUUUGGCUCGACAUAUUCACAAACAAGGCAGAGAUAUUAACGUGGGGAGAAUUGUAGUGGAAGAUCAUUGCAGCCACUGUCCCUAUUUUACCAAAUGUGGUCAAAUACUUCAAUUGUUGCUGAAGAAAAGUCCUGAGUGAUCAAAUGUUAUCCUUCAGCUGUGAUGCAGUUAACGUUAUUCCUCACACUCGAACAGAGUAUUCCAGGUUUACUAUACCCUCCAGUCUUGUCGGGAUAUUAUUUGAUAGAUUCACAGCCAAAGAAAUGGAUAAAACGAAAGAUUUACUGGAUUCAAGUUCUAUAUCAAGUCCAUAUAUUCCAAUACAUUGCUGGGUUUAUUUUACAAAAAAUGCAAAAACGAUGCUAAGACCCGGAAGACUGCAGAAGAAUUCAGUCAUUAUUUAAUCCCGAACCGGACUGUUUGAUAACUGACUCUAUGAUUGCAGUAAUGCAGGAAACAGAAUACGGACGCCUAACCGUACCAUUGGCCAGUGUCCUAGCUGCUCGAAAUUGAAUUUAGAUUAAACUAUGCUCAUGAAGGUGUUACAGCCACAGUUUUUGAAAAUUUUAAUAUGGAAUCAUUUGGUAUCGCCCAAAACGAUACUAGCAUGCUGGACAUCUUGGAAAAAUAAGGUGCCAUCAAACAGAAUUUAUCCCUACGAAAACUGCUUAAAAAUAAAUGUAGAUGAAGAGCAUGAUCUCUUUUCACUUUAUUUUGCAAGGUAGUGCGUUUAGAUGUGAUUCCAGUUUUAUUUUUUAGCAGUAAUUAAACAAAGCAAUCUAUUUUCCAUAACAAAGUUUUCAUUGCAAUAUAGUAUAUUUUCAUGACAAUAGGCAAUGUAAGUUGCAUAAUAAAAAUAUAGCAUAUAUAGAACUGUUUGAGUUGUCCCAGCUGUUAGCUGUAUUUCUGGCAACUAGCAUUUUCCCAGAUGGUUGAGCAUGACCUUUGAUGUCAUCAGUUUCAGGUGACUGAUCAUGACCAACCACCUGUGAAGGUGAUUUGGCCAUGUGCACUGAGUAGUCUGGAAGACAGCUCAGUUGGUGGUGUUUAUGUCUGUAUGUGUUACUUUGGUUAUUGCUUUGGACAUUUAUUCGCUAUAUAAUUAAGACAUUUAUUAAAUAUACUUUGGAGUCGCUUUAACACCAGCGACAGAUGAUUUCCAGUUGCGUAUUUCAGAAAUGAAAAUUAUUUUCAAGCCAAAUCAGACGAUCAUCAAUGCUAUGGAAUGGUCUGAGCAUUUUUAGGCGCUCCCGUAGUUUGUGUACCAAGACAGCGCACAACCUGAUUAACCCCAACCUGGUACACAUAUUACGGGAGCACUCUUUUUUAUAUCCAAAAUUUGGCCAAGUAUUCAUAAUAUCAAACCAUUUAUCCAUAGACCAUGCUGAUCAAGAGCUCUGGCCCACCUCUCUGCUGCAUCAAUCUUGCAGUAGUCUUAGAUAGAUAGCACCUGGGCUGCAUAUUUGACACACACUUUUGGGUAGCUACGUAAGCACAAGUGGGAUUCUGUCAAUUUGCAGGAGCGGAACUGUUCGGAUGAAAAAGGAGGGUACUGCACGAAAAUGGUCAUCAUUCCACCAGCGUGACUCGCAAACACAUUAUUGCGUACUGUUUUGAGUAAAUGAAAUGAUCAGAACCAUUGAAACAUGUAUAUGGGAAAGUUAACCUCAAAUUGUUUAACUCAUGGAACAUUUUACGGUUUGCGCUAAGUCCAUCCAUCUGUAAUGAGCCCCAAACCCACUUCAACACUUUCCGAAAAAAUGCUAGCGAGAUUGUCUGAGGGCUUUGAAAACUUCCCAAUCAAACCAUGUGCAUAAACUUGCAGUGCAUUGUGUGCAGGAACUUUUUCUCUGCUUUUCUCGACUCUCCCAAGUCAACAAAGCCAUCAUAUCUUCUUUUGAAUUGUAGACAAUAUUUUCUUUGACUAAAAAGAUAGGUUUAUCUUCAAAUAUUUUGAAUCGACCAAGUUAUGUCGGGUUUUGAACCAAAUUUUGCACAUUAAAGUUUGUUUAGUAAUAAUAAUUGUACAAUUAUAAAUUUGGGCACUCCUCAACUAAUUUUGUUCGCCUACUUUACAUCAAUUUGUGUAAAGGAACUGAAACUUAUGGACAGGUGUAUGUGUAUUCAAUUGGCUAUGAGUCCCUGAGCUCGUAAUAGAAGUGAAACAAGGGAAAUCUUCAAAACACUUUUCCCAGAUGAAAUAAAUAUUUCACAAUUUAGUGAUCUAAAAUAAUGAUAGAAGAAAUUACUUAUUAUUGCUCAAAGGAAGUGCCCACAUAGCAGUGUUAUGUCAUUCGCAAGAUGAUACUGUUAAUGGAAGUAAAAAUAGAAGGUACUACGCUCAGACAAACAAUGUAGAAUUUUCAAGGUAUUAACAUGAUGAUAUCAACACCAGCCGAACAUUGUGAAUUCUUGAAACAGAUGAUUAGAAAAAUAUGUAAUACCUUAAAG